CGUUCUUUAAAAGCUUAAGAAGCGGGAAAGAGGUAAUAGUGAUUUAGAAAGCCCUGUACUUCAUACAUAGUUCUCUACAAGUAGUUGUAUUACUAGUAGCAGCUGACAUGUAACUGUAGUAGAACUAGUAGCCAUCCCUGUACUUUACAUAUAGUUCUCUACAAGUAGUUGUAUUACUAGUAGCAGCUGACAUGUAACUGUAGUAGCAAAGGUAGCUAUCCUUGUACUUUACAUAUUAUUCGCUACAAGUAGUUGUAUUACUAGUAGCAGCUGACAUGUUACUGUAGUAGAACGAGUAGCCAUCCCUGUACUUUACAUAUAGUUCUCUACAAGUUGAUGUAUUACUAGUAGCAGCUGACAUGUAACUGUAGUAGAACCAGUAGCUAUCCUUGUAUCUUAUACACUUUUCUCUAUUAGUAGUUGUAUUACUAGUAGCAUCUGUCAUGUAACUGUAGUAGACGCAGGAGCUAUCCUUGUAUCUUAUAUAUAGUUCUCUACAAGUAGUUGUAUUACUAGUAGCAUCUGUCAUGUAGCAGUAGUAGACGCAGGAGCUAUCCUUGUAUCUUAUAUCUAGUUCUCUACAAGCAGUUGUAUUACUAGUAGCAUCUGUCAUGUAGCAGUAGUAGACGCAGGAGCUAUCCUUGUAUCUUAUAUCUAGUUCUCUACAAGCAGUUGUAUUACUAGUAGCAUCUGUCAUGUAGCAGUAGUAGACGCAGGAGCUAUCCUUGUAUCUUAUAUUUGGUUCUCUACAAGCAGUUGUAUUACUAGUAGCAUCUGUCACGUAGCAGUAGUAGCCGCAGGAGCUAUCCUUGUAUUUUACAUAUGGUUUGGCCUCAUUUGCCUUUACUACGCGUAUUGCCCCAUAAGCGCUAGAGUUGUACCGACCUCUACUGUCUGCACGAAGGUGCAACAAACAACCAUGAAGUGAAAUAUACAUUCUAAAAAUAAAUCUAUGUUUUCAAGCUGAUACUUUUCAUUUCACUGCUGCUGAAGUCCAGGACACGACAGCGACACGUGAUUAGACUUGGUAUUUCCAAGUACCUGCGCUGUCGUUAUUUUAAGAAUUACGGGGAAUACCAGGAAAACAAAGCACUGUCCAUAUGUGGAAACAGACACGACCAAUGAGCAGCCCAGGAUUUUAGUCCCGUGGCACAGGAGGUUCUCAGAAAUCUAUUGGCUGUUGUUAUAUAAAGUGUUAACGAGGCGCUCAGGAAUCAUUCCACGUUUACAGACUGCUCAUCCCAGUGCUUACAAAAAUCUGAAACCAGAAACAAAAAUACUGCAAACAGCAAUGUCUGACAGUGGAACUCAACAAGACUUGGACAACCAUGCCAACCAGUGCAAUCCGAACAACUCGGAAUACAGCGGCCACACUUCGGAUUAUUCCGGGACCGGCGACAAGGCCGAUUUGGAUAACCACUCCAACCAGUGCAACCCAAACAACUCGGAGUAUCAGGGGCACCAAUCAGGCUACGGCGGGUCUGGUGGCAAGUGAUGACGUUGCAGCCCGUGAUUGGUUAGCACAGACAAUGUAGACACGUGUAUGUGGCUCGUGCAAUAUGAACAAUGUUGAUUAUCCUGUGCUAUGGUUGUCCAGUCAAAAUAUAAAAAAGUGAAAAAGUAAAUAUCUUCCAAGAAAAAGAUAUAUUUGUAGAUGUAAUACAUAUGUAGUAUAUGUAAUAAACAGGAUGUGAAUCCA